rnacentral:lncRNA from 10 species
UCAUGCCUUGAGUAUCACUCACAUUUGAUUCAGAUGAGACGCUGGACUUUGGACUUUUGAGUUGGUGCUGAAAUGACUUUAGUUCACCAAGAAAUGGGAAGAAAAAUCGGAGGGGAGCAGUUGACACCACUCAUUAAAUAUGCCAUUCUUUUCUCACUGAGGUGAAAUGUGAGCUUCAUCAUAUGCCGAAUGAUUACAUAUCCCCGAGUCUGUUUUUAGAUAUGAAUUUAUUUUGUUGAUUUAUUUGCCUA